AUUGAACGCUGGCGGCAUGCCUUACACAUGCAAGUCGAACGGUAACGGGCCUUCGGGUGCCGACGAGUGGCGAACGGGUGCGUAAUACAUCGGAACGUGCCCGAUCGUGGGGGAUAACGAGGCGAAAGCUUUGCUAAUACCGCAUACGAUCUACGGAUGAAAGCAGGGGACCGCGAGGCCUUGCGCGGACGGAGCGGCCGAUGGCAGAUUAGGUAGUUGGUGGGAUAAAAGCUUACCAAGCCGACGAUCUGUAGCUGGUCUGAGAGGAUGAUCAGCCACACUGGGACUGAGACACGGCCCAGACUCCUACGGGAGGCAGCAGUGGGGAAUUUUGGACAAUGGGCGCAAGCCUGAUCCAGCCAUGCCGCGUGCAGGAUGAAGGCCUUCGGGUUGUAAACUGCUUUUGUACGGAACGAAAAGCCUUCUUUUAAUACAGGAGGGUCAUGACGGUACCGUAAGAAUAAGCACCGGCUAACUACGUG
rnacentral:rRNA from 1 species